ACCGAGGCUAACAGAUACAAUAUACUCUACUCAUGGAUUUUUGUGAGAUAAUUAGGACCUGGUCCUCAACCAAGAUGUGAUUCCAUUGCGUUGAUCACAGACCUAAUGGCUACCAACAUUUUGUUCUCCUGAGUGAGGGAAAAUAAAGUUUUCAGAGAGGCUUCACGGUUGACCAAGGGUCUGUGUGAGCUGGAAGUGCAGCCUGGGGCUGUGCCAUGGCAGAGUGACACCGGAGGAGCAGGGGAGGUUUGAACAUAAGGGUUUUACAGCACCAAGAAACCUUAGCUCCAUUAUCUUACACUUGGAGGUCUCUCACGGAUAAAUCAGCUGCUUUUCAAAAUAGAAGAGACUUAUGAA
rnacentral:lncRNA from 1 species